rnacentral:lncRNA from 1 species
UUUAUUUUUCAGGUUGCCAAGACAUAAAACAAACCAUCAUGGAUGGGGUGGAGCAAAGAACAACACCACAACAUCAAGUAAGCACUCACAAACAUCAAAAUGACAGAACGACACAAUCUGCCAUAAACUGCAUCAUAGCACUUAGCGAGCUACAUGCAAAGCACCUACAACCACCCAACUAUGACAAAUAAUAUAUGUGGCUGUAGCUAGCCAAGAAUACUACAAGCACAAGCAAG